GAUGAACGCUAGCGACAGGCUUAACACAUGCAAGUCGAGGGGCAGCACAGGUAGCAAUACCGGGUGGCGACCGGCGCACGGGUGAGUAACGCGUAUGCAACUUACCUAUCAGAGGGGGAUAACCCGGCGAAAGUCGGACUAAUACCGCAUAAAGCAGGGAUCCCGCAUGGGAAUAUUUGCUAAAGAUUUAUCGCUGAAAGAUGAGCUCGCGUCUGAUUAGCUAGUUGGCGGGGUAACGGCCCACCAAGGCGACGAUCAGUAGCCGGACUGAGAGGUUGAACGGCCACAUUGGGACUGAGACACGGCCCAG
rnacentral:rRNA from 1 species